rnacentral:rRNA from 1 species
GGUUCGAUCCUGGCUCAGAUUGAACGCUGGCGGAUGCUUUUACACAUGCAAGUCGAACGGCAGCACGGACUUCGGUCUGGUGGCGAGUGGCGAACGGGUGAGUAAUGUAUCGGAACGUGCCUAGUAGGGGGAUAAUCUUACGCUGAAAGCGUAGCUAAUACCGUAUUACCGGCUCCUUCGGGGGAAAGCGGGGAUCUUCGCCUCGCACUAUUAGAGCGGCCGAUAUCGGAUUAGCGAAGCUGGUGGGGUAACGGCUCACCACAGGCGACGACCCGUAGCUGGUUUUGAGAGAGGACGACCAGCCACACUGGACUGGAGACACGGCUCCAGACUCUACGGAGGCAGCAGUGGGGAAUUUGACAAUGGGGAAACCCCGAUCCAGCCAUCCUGCGUGUGCGAUGAAGGCCUUCGGGUUGUAAAGCACUUUUGGCAGGAAAGAAACGGCACGGGAUAAUACCCCGUAACUGACGGCAGGCCUGCAGAAUAAGCACCGGCUAACCACGCCAGCAGCCGCGGUAAUACGUAGGGUGCAAGCGUUAAUCGGAAUUACCGGGCGUAAGCGUGCGCAGGCGGUUCGAAGAAAGAUGUGAAAUCCCAGAGCUUAACUUUGGGAACUGCAUUUAACUACCGAGCUAGAGUGUGUCAGAGGGAGGUGGAAUUCUGCGUGUAGCAGUGAAAUGCGUAGAUAUGCGGAGGAACACCGAUGGCGAAGGCAGCCUCCUGGGAUAACACUGACGCUCAUGCACGAAAAGCGUGGGGGAGCAAACAGGAUUAGAUACCCCGGUAGUCCACGCCUCUAAACGAUGUCAACUAGGCUCGUUGGGGCUCGGGCCUGGUAGCAGCUAACGCGUGAAGUUGACCGCCUGGGGAGUACGGUCGCAAAGAUUAAAACUCAAAGGAAUUGACGGGACCUGCACAAGCGGUGGAUGACGUGGAUUAAUUCGAUGCAACGCGAAAAACCUACCUACCCUUGACAUGUCUGAAUCCUGAAGAGAUUUGGGAGUGCUCAAGAGAACCGGAACACAGGUGCUGCAUGGCUGUCGUCAGCUCGUGUCGUGAGAUGUUGGGUUAAGUCCCGCAACGAGCGCAACCCUUGUCAUUAUUAGUUGCUACGAAAGGGCACUCCACGAGACUGCCGGUGACAAACCGGAGGAAGGUGGGGAUGACGUCAAGUCCUCAUGGCCCUCUAUGGGUAGGGCUUCACACGUCAUACAAUGGUCGGGACAGAGGGUCGCUAACCCGCGAGGGGGAGCCAAUCCCAGAAACCCGAUCGUAGUCCGAUCGCAGCCUGCAACUCGACUGCGUGAAGUCGGGACCGCUAGUAAUCGCGGAUCAGCAUGUCGCGGUAAAAGAAUACGUCUCUGGUCUGUACACACCGCCCGUCACACCAUGGGAGUGGGUUUUACCAGAAGUAGCGCUAGCCUAACCGUAAGGAGGGCGAUUACCACGGUAGAUUCAUGACUGGGGGUGAAGUCGUAACAAGGUAA